rnacentral:rRNA from 1 species
UACGGAAGGGGCAAGCGUUGUUCGGAAUCAUUGGGCGUAAAGGGCGCGUAGGUGGUUCUGUAUGUCUAUCGUGAAAGCGUACGGCUCAACCGUAUUUUGUCGGUAGAAACUGCAGGACUUGAGGCUGGGAGGGGCUGGUGGAAUUCCCUGUGUAGCGGUGAAAUGCGUAGAUAUCGUAAGGAAGACCAGUGGCGAAGGCGAGUCUCUGGACAGCAACUGACGCUGAGGCACGAAGGCCAGGGGAGCAAACGGG